rnacentral:rRNA from 1 species
ACAACGGAUCUCUUGGCUCUCGCAUCGAUGAAGAACGCAGCGAAAUGCGAUAAGUAAUGUGAAUUGCAGAAUUCAGUGAAUCAUCGAAUCUUUGAACGCACCUUGCGCUCCUUGGUAUUCCGAGGAGCAUGCCUGUUUGAGUGUCAUUGAAUCAUCAACCCCCCCACUUCU